UCAAGGAGAAAACAAACCACCCAUAUGGUCCCCAAAACUUCUGUGAUUGAAAGGAAAAUCAUUAUUUUAUAUAGUUUCAAAUAACCCAGACUCAAGUCAUAAACAAACUUAACUUCUGUAAACAUUUAAUAAUGUAGGAUCAGUCCUAAAACACAAAUUCAGAAGCAUACAAUAUCAAAAAGCUGAGUCCGAGUUGCCUAAGAGCAUUGGGAAUCCUGAAUUUUUUGUUUAAUGAUAUUAAAUUUCUGUCAGGUUUCCUUUGGAAUAUUAAUAGCUUUGAACCUUAUGCUUACAAUUAAUUUACUUGUUCACAAAUCAAUUAUUAUGAAUACUCUUCUGCCAUGUCAUUCCAAGGAAAUCAAGCACUCUGAAAUAACUGAAAUUCUAUUUCCUGGAGAAUUAGAAUAAGCAUUACAUUACUCUCAGAUGUGGAAAAAAGCAAACAUUAAUGAAACGAAAAUCCAUUUUAUUAGAAAUACAAGACACACAUUAUUUGAAAAUAGUGAACAAUAAUUAGCAUUGUAAAUAAGAAGAGGAACAGGGAGCCACGCUCUGGGACUUGCUUUAUACAGAUGUUUUUUCUUGUGAUUUCCGAUUCUUAAGAUGUUUUUCUCUCAGAAAUUUAAAUAGUGAUGUAGCAGCACCAAAUCUGAUGUAGAGAAUUAUUGAAAUAAAUAAAUAAAUAUCCACUGUUCUCUCAUACAUACCAUGGGAUUCAGAUUGCAAAUUUGCAGUGUACCUGUGUAUUCCUGUGAUAUGGUGAUUAGAUAUUAUUUGGCAAGUAAAUAGCUGAGUUACUAUGUAUAGCAGCUUUUAAAAAAUGUUUGCAAAUGUUUUAUCUACUUAUAAAUUUCACAGGGUGAUUAUGGUCUUUGUAUAUAUGUAAACAGAUCUGUGAAUGGAAAUGUUAUUUUUGUUUGUUUCUAAAAAUUGGAGAGAGAAGGCUUUGUGACAGCUAGUCAAUAAAUAUCCUAUUCUAACCAAUUUUUGCUGAUAAGCAAUUUAUCUAAUAGAGAAGGCAGAACAUGUGUACAGACAACAAUAAGAAUACCACAACAACAUUCAUAAAUGUUAUAAUCUGGAGAUGUACUAAUUUUCAGAUGUUCCUGCCUUCUUAAAUUCAGGGUGGGAACAGAAGAAACAAAAUGGAUACCUCCAUUAAUACUACCCUGUAUUGACAAAUAUUAUCAAUGCAGACCAAAAGCAGACCCACCUGACUGUUUUCUCUCAUGUAGAUCAGAGUUUUAUUGUGUGAAAGGAAAAAAGUCAAACCAUCAGAUUGAUCGAGACAGUGUAAACUGGAGAGUACAUGGCAAUACUGCAGUACAGAUAUCUUAAUGGGAAGGAGUGAAAGAGGACAUUGAGGCAGGGAGAAAAGAGAAAAGGAAAAAAAUAGAUGAGUAUCAGAAAAUAAAAUGAUUAACAUUAACAUCCAAGUACCUGAAGUAGACUGUAGUCAUACAAAAGCUCAACUAGUCUUAAGAUUCACAAGUAAGAUUAUUAUGAAUAUAUCAAUUAUGUCUUUAGAGCCCUUGGCCAUUGAAGCAGGAUCAUCACCAAGAUAGGACUAUAGGGUAAAGUGUCCUGAAAGACUUUCAAGCACAGAGUAGCUAAUCUUUUAUAUGUUGCAGAAAUUGAAAUAAUACAUAUUAUAUAAUGGCCUCUACAUCUGUAAAGCUCACAAACCAAAAUGAUUUCAUUGCAGGAUUGCCAGAGCACUGAGAUGAAUAAAGCCAAAAAGGUAGAUGGAUGUAGAAAGAUUGAGAAAUGGAAUGGAAUCAACAGAGAGACAGAGGACAAAGAGAAGGAGGGUAGAAAGAGGAAAACACAGUCUCUAUGAAGGCUCAAACAAAAACAGGUAAGCAUGAAGAAUCAGUGCAAAGGAAAAGAAAUGUACUAAAAAGAAAGAACGAGCAAGUGUCCAUGAACAGAGAAGAAAGUGAAUAAGCAAAAGACAGAAAUUUUAAAGCAAAGAUCAGGAAUUGGAAGUAAGCAAAAUGGGUAAAUUCGAAAGUCCACAAGAAUUUGGCCAUUCAACAAGGCUUAUUUCAUUAGUAUGUAAAGAUGGGGAGAAAGAGGAAAUAUGAAAGAUAAGAAAGGAGAAAGGAAGAGAAAGGAAAAAAGAGAAGAAGGAGAAAGAGAGGAAAGGAAAAGAAAGGAAACUGAGCAAAAGCAAAGAGAAUGUAUUGGGUUAGAGAAGGAGAAAUAGCUUUGAAUAUUCAAGAGAAGCAGAAAGCAAAAAAUGAAAACAGAAGAGUGAAUAGAGAGUAAGUUGUUUUUGUUGACUAAAUUCACAUUCACUAUUAAGUUUAUGCUAAUUCUAUUCUCCACACUUAAUCAAAAUUUAAUUCAAAUCAAUAGCAUCCUUGUCACUGGUGCUGGUUCCUCCCUCCCCCACCCCAAUUGUUGCCUUACUAAGGGAGAUAAUUAAAAAAUGGAAACAGACUAGGAGAACACGAACAAGGAAAUAAAAGAGAGGAAGCAAAAGAGAGGAAAAAAAGAAUACUAAUUCUAAAAGUAGUUCUUACAUUGUAGGAAAAUGUUGAGGACAACCCCUGGGAAAAAAUGGAAGAUAAACGAACAGAGUGCAGAUGGUUGGGCAAUUAGAGCUAGAGUAAAAAAGGAAAAAGCACAGUAUCACACAAUAUUAAAAAGCACCGUUCAAUAUAAAUGUAUGAAUGCAAUUACAGACAGAAAAUGAUCAAAACAAUUUUGAAAAUAUAGAUUUAGACAAGGCUGGUUUUAUUAAGGAGAUGAUUUAAAGCAGAUGACUGGACCAUCAUGAGUGAAAAUCUUGGGGGGAAUCAGUGCAGAAUUAAAUAAGUGCAGGAUGUAGGGAAGAUGGAGAGAAGAAAAGGCAGGCAAGAGAAGAAACUACCUGGGCUUUAUAUAGAUUCUAUAUAUAGGAACAUUCUAAAUGCAAAUAAUUUUCUGAGUAUUAACAAAAUACUUUAGUCCUGAUGCAGCAAUGGUAGCUUGAUAAUAGCACAAAAGCCACAUAGUUACAGAGCAGAACAGAAAUAUCCGCUUGCAGCUGCUUCUCAAUGAAGUGACAAAAUUGAUUAGAACAUCCGUAGACAAAUCAUGACAAGCAAAUGGUGGAAAGGCUUUAUGGAGAGAAGAAAGAAGAUAUGGCAAGCAAGACAAGUGUGCAAAAGAAGAAAAUACAUACACAGUAUUGCAUAGGUAAAGACAGCAAGCAGUUAAGUUAAUAUAGGCACAGAGAACAGGAAGUGAAAAAAAGUGAUGGCCUCAGUAAAGACAAGAUAAACGUUAGUACCAACUACAAGACCAAAUUAAAAUAUCACAGCAGUCAAGCAGCAGAGGAGGGACAAAAUAAUGUGAAUAGAAAAAAGAUAAUGAAAAAGAAGAAGGCAAAAAUGGGAAGAAUGAUACUUAUUGGGCUAUGAAAUGUAACACCUUUAAAAUGUGUUGGGACUACAAUUCCAGUUCUCAUUUAGCAAAGGGGGGAUGGUUUCUA